rnacentral:rRNA from 1 species
UACAGAGGUCUCAAGCGUUGUUCGGAUUCAUUGGGCGUAAAGGGUGCGUAGGCGGCGCGGUAAGUCGGGUGCGAAAUCUCGGGGCUUAACUCCGAAACUGCAUUCGAUACUACCGUGCUUGAGGACUGGAGAGGAGACUGGAAUUUACGGUGUAGCGGUGAAAUGCGUAGAUAUCGUAAGGAAGACCAGUGGCGAAGGCGGGUCUCUGGACAGUUCCUGACGCUGAGGCACGAAGGCCAGGGGAGCAAACGGG